UACGUAGGGUGCAAGCGUUGUCCGGAAUUAUUGGGCGUAAAGAGCUCGUAGGCGGUUUGUCGCGUCUGAUGUGAAAACCCGAGGCUCAACCUCGGGCCUGCAGUGGGUACGGGCAGACUGGAGUGCGGUAGGGGAGAAUGGAAUUCCUGGUGUAGCGGUGGAAUGCGCAGAUAUCAGGAGGAACACCGAUGGCGAAGGCAGUUCUCUGGGCCGUAACUGACGCUGAGGAGCGAAAGCGUGGGGAGCGAACAGG
rnacentral:rRNA from 1 species